rnacentral:rRNA from 1 species
ACGAACGCUGGCGGCGUGCUUCAUACAUGCAAGUCGAACGGGAUUCAAUCAGUGGCAACACUGAGGAAGAUCUAGUGGCGAACGGGUGAGUAACACGUGAGGAACCUAUCCCGGUCUCUGGAAUAACAGGUGGAAACACCUGCUAAUACCGGAUGCCGUCGGAGCCCCUCCUGGGGUGUCGACGAAAGAUUUAUCGGAUCGGGCGGGCCUCGCGGCCUAUCAGCUAGUUGGUGGGGUAACGGCCUACCAAGGCAUCGACGGGUAGCUGGUCUGAGAGGAUGAUCAGCCACACUGGGACUGAGACACGGCCCAGACUCCUACGGGAGGCAGCAGUAGGGAAUCUUGCGCAAUGGGCGAAAGCCUGACGCAGCAACGCCGCGUGCGGGAAGAAGGCUCUCGGGUUGUAAACCGCUUUCAGUAGGAACGAAAUUGACGGUACCUGCAGAAGAAGGUGCGGCCAACUACGU